AAGGGGAAAUUUCAUGUUUACACUUUCUCUCAUACCACAAUUCACUUAUACCACUAGUACAAGGACAUUUUUAUAAUUACACUUUUCAUUAGUGAUCAAAUUACAUUACUACCCAUCAUCUGUUUCUCUUCUCUCGCGUGAUUCCUCUUCACCUCCUCCGUCGAGUCCAGCAUUUCUCUCACAAACUAUCGGCGACUACGACUCCGGCGACGAGAUCGACGACUCCGGCGCGGAAUCUGAAAUAGAAAAGGAGGAAGGCACGUCGCUUAAACAACCCCCCGCAAGAGGCGUCGCUUAGAGGCAGGUGUCGAAACAAGACUGGGUGAAGGAGAGAUGGUGUUUCGGCCUUCUCGGCUUCUCUCUCUCUCGAAUCCUUCUCGGCCUUCUCAGGCUUGUCUCCCUCGGUUGAUCUCGUCGGUGAUCUAGCUCUCAUCGGCGUUCUCCCUGUCUUGAUUCCUCUCGUCAGGCUCACCCUUUGGCCUUCUCUCUCAAUUCCUCUCAUCGGUGGCUCUGCUCUUCUCCGCGUUGUUUCAAAUCAAAAGGUAAAGCGGUUGUUUUGUUGUUUAAGCAUGUCUCAGAUUAUGAUUGAUGUUUGUUGUAUUAGGAGUAGUUCUUAUCGUUAUGUUUCAUGUUCGCUUCUCUUAAUAUAAACGUGCUUGUUCUCUGCUUAUGUUUAAUUAAAAUUCUGCUUAUGUUCAUUGUUCUUCUUCUCUUGUGUCAUUGUCUCAAAAAUGUUCUUGUGUUAAAAAUGUUAUGCUCAUUGUAAUUGAUGUUGAAGUGGUCUCUGUUUUGAUAUAUCUGAUGCUGGUUUUGUAGUUUGGUAGGGUCAUUUAUAUCUGAUGCUGGUUUUGUAGUUUGGCUACGUUGUUCUUGCACGACCUGAGUUACUGCCUUGAAACUGCUAUGGUUAGUUCUAAGAACACCAGUGAAUGAUCUUAUGUUUCAUGUUUCCUAUGAAACUCGGUACAGAGGUGCUGUGAAAUAGUAUUUGAAUUUUAUCAUUAGGGAAAUAUGGAUUUGAAGUCUCAUCAGUUGAUUUUAACUUCAUUGAUGUGUUUUUUAUCCAGAUGAUUUUAAACUUUUAUCAUUUGAUCUUUAUUCUGUCUUGUAGUAUUGAGCAUGGAUGCUAUCGACAUGUCUUGUUUAUUUAGUAUAUAUAUCUGAUGAUGUUGUUCUUUGAGUUUUAGUUUUUCAAGUAUUGGUAUUUAAGGGAAGCUGCUAGGAUGGGUGUGAAACAGGCUCUAAGGAGCAUCGAUGUGUUCCCAAGGCAUCUGUUGUAUUAGCCUUGUACUACCAUUCAAGUACAUCUAUUGUCUAACCUGAUAUUUUAACUAACGUUUCUGUUAUACUUUUUUUCUCUCUCAUUCAGACAAUCUUGAAGAUCCCGGGUUUCACUGAUAACGUUGUCACUCAUAUUCUAUCUGGACUAGGAGCCGGAUUCUUCGCUGUCUGCAUUGGUUCCCCUGCUGACGUGGUUAAGUCAAGAAUGAUGGGAGAUCACAUUGUUAAAUUAUUUAUAAUGGUGUACAUAUAAUUUAUAAAUAUUUAUAAAGUCACUAUAAAUGAUUCUUAGUCUUUAUAAGGCUUUAUAUAUUACAAAUGUUAUUGUAAAA